rnacentral:rRNA from 1 species
AUUAAACGCUGGCGGCAUGCCUUACACAUGCAAGUCGAACGGCAGCACGGGGGCAACCCUGGUGGCGAGUGGCGGACGGGUGAGUAAAGCAUCGGAACGUAUCCUGGAGUGGGGGAUAACGUAGCGAAAGUUACGCUAAUACCGCAUAUUCUGUGAGCAGGAAAGCAGGGGAUCGCAAGACCUUGCGCUCUGGGAGCGGCCGAUGUCGGAUUAGCUAGUUGGUGGGGUAAAGGCCUACCAUGGCGACGAUCCGUAGCGGGUCUGAGAGGAUGAUCCGCCACACUGGGACUGAGACACGGCCCAGACUCCUACGGGAGGCAGCAGUGGGGAAUUUUGGACAAUGGGCGGAAGCCUGAUCCAGCCAUGCCGCGUGAGUGAAGAAGGCCU